UCUCUUUCUCUCAACCUCCCUAUCAGAUCUGCUCUCCCAACCUCAAAUCAGAUUUGCAUAUACCGUGGCAUGUGUAUGCAUAUAUUGUAUUUCACUAUCUUCUAAAGGCCAGUUUCUAAUACACUCCAUAUAUUUACUAUUUUUUUAUCAAGGCCUGUUGUUUUUUUUGUUGUGUGAUCAUUCUAAUACACUGUGCUCGUGCCAAAAAAUAAAGUGCCUCACGUGUAUAUUGAUUGAUAUAUAGUUAUGACUUAAGUUCUUCACACAUAAUGUUUGUCUCAUUUUUUUAAAGUUAGUAAAGCAAAAAUGCUGAGUUUACUGUCAAAACAUACACCUUACACACUCUCAUUCACAGGUGCUGCAAUGCUCCUUUCUGCCUUAACAUUCUUAAGGCAUUGUAGUAUAUCAUUCUUUCUUGGAGCUGCAUCACCGUAUAGCUAUCAUUCACAGGUGCUUGGCUAUCUCCCUUUGCUGAAUAUUUGAUCCAUGCCUAUCUGCAGCAAAGAGCACUAUGCAUAGGAUCUGGUAUGCGGCAAAUCUGUCAAGAACUGGACCUUGGAGGUAACCUUAGAUUAUAAAUAGGAUAUGUUGUUGAUGUAAUCUGGAUCAUGUAAUAUGUUGUUUAAGGACCCACAGUUAGCUAUUAGUGUAGAAUAGAAGCAACAAUACUGUCAUUUUUGCUUGUAUGAACCAAUGCUAGAGAUGAGGCCGAGUGAACAUAUUGAUGUAACAAUGUAAUGAUCAAAUGUGUUUUUUUUUGUUUUUCUAUAAUUAUUUUCCCUAUCACUAUAUCCCAGUGUGUGGUUAGAGUUGGAAUUGCAGUAGCAUUACCAAUUUAUGUA